rnacentral:ribozyme from 13 species
GCUGGGUAUCCCAAAAUGGAACUUAUUCUCAAUGGCAAAACUCGUUAAAACAAAAACAUUGAAACAAAAGAGGAGAGAAGAAUAAGAUAUUUUCUUGUUGUUUUGUUUUUUUGUUUUGGGGAGAAAAGUUUUCUCUCCCUUUCAGUUUGUUAUUUUGGUUCAUUAAU